rnacentral:rRNA from 1 species
UACAGAGGGUGCGAGCGUUGUUCGGAAUUAUUGGGCGUAAAGGGCGCGUAGGCGGUGCGGUAAGUCACCUGUGAAAUCUCCUGGCUCAACUGGGAGCUUGCAGGCGAAACUGCCGUGCUGGAGUGUGGGAGAGGUGAGUGGAAUUCCCGGUGUAGCGGUGAAAUGCGUAGAUAUCGAGAGGAACACCUGCGGCGAAGGCGGGUAGCUGGGCCGACACGUGACGCUGAGGCGCGAAAGCCAGGGGAGCGAACGGG